UUGAACGCUGGCGGCAUGCCUUACACAUGCAAGUCGAACGGCAGCACGGGGGCAACCCUGGUGGCGAGUGGCGAACGGGUGAGUAAUAUAUCGGAACGUGCCCUAGAGUGGGGGAUAACUAGUCGAAAGACUAGCUAAUACCGCAUACGAUCUAUGGAUGAAAGUGGGGGAUCGCAAGACCUCAUGCUCGUGGAGCGGCCGAUAUCUGAUUAGCUAGUUGGUGGGGUAAAAGCCUACCAAGGCAUCGAUCAGUAGCUGGUCUGAGAGGACGACCAGCCACACUGGGACUGAGACACGGCCCAGACUCCUACGGGAGGCAGCAGUGGGGAAUUUUGGACAAUGGGGGCACCCUGAUCCAGCAAUGCCGCGUGAGUGAAGAAGGCCUUCGGGUUUGUAAAGCUCUUUUGUCAGGGAAAGAAACGGUCCGGGCUAAUAUCCUGGGCUAAUGACGGUACCUGAAGAUAAGCACCGGCUAACUACGUGCCAGCAGCCGCGGGGGUAAUACGUAGGGUGCGAGCGUUAAUCGGAAUACUGGGCGUAAAGCGUGCGCAGGCGGUUGUGCAAGACAGAUGUGAAAUCCCCGGGCUCAACCUGGGAAUUGCAUUUGUGACUGCACGGCUAGAGUGUGUCAGAGGGGGUUAGAAUUCCACGUGUAGCAGUGAAAUGCGUAGAGAUGUGGAGGAAUACCGAUGGCGAAGGCAGCCCCCUGGAUAACACUGACGCUCAUGCACGAAAGCGUAGGGAGCAAACAGGAUUAGAUUACCCUGGUAGUCCACGCCCUAAACGAUGUCAACUAGUUGUCGGGUCUUAAUUGACUUGGUAACGCAGCUAACGCGGUGAAGGUUGACCGCCUGGGGAGUACGGUCGCAAGAUUAAAACUCAAAGGGAAUUGACGGGGACCCGCACAAGCGGUGGAUGAUGUGGAUUAAUUCGAUGCAACGCGAAAAACCUUACCUACCCUUGACCAUGGCAGGAAUACCCGGAGAGAUUUGGGAGUGCUCGAAAGAGAACCUGCACACAGGUGCUGCAUGGCUGUCGUCAGCUCGUGUCGUGAGAUGUUGGGUUAAGUCCCGCAACGAGCGCAACCCUUGUCAUUAGUUGCUACGAAAGGGCACUCGUAAUGAGACCUGCCGGUGACAAACCGGAGGAUAGGUGGAGGAUGACGUCAGUUCCCCUCAUGGCCCUUAUGGGUAGGGCUUCACACCGUCAUACAAUGGUACAUACAGAGGGCUGCCAACCCGCGAGGGGGAGCUAAUCCCAGAAAGUGUAUCGUAGGUCCGGAUGGAGUCUGCAACUCGACUCCAUGAAGUUUGGAAUCGCCUAGGUAAUCGCGGAUCAGCAUGUCGCGGUGGAUACGUUCCCGGGUCUUGUACACACCGCCCGUCACACCAUGGGAGCGGGUUUUACCAGAAGUAGGUAGCUUAAACCGCAAGGAGGGCGCUUACCACGGUAGGAUUCGUGACUGGGGUG
rnacentral:rRNA from 1 species